rnacentral:rRNA from 1 species
GACGAACGCUGGCGGCAUGCCUAAUACAUGCAAGUCGAGCGAACAGAUGGAGUGCUUGCACUUCUGACGUUAGCGGCGAACGGGUGAGUAACACGUAAGGAAUCUACCUAUAAGCGGGGGAUAACAUUCGGAAACGGGUGCUAAUACCGCAUAAUAUCUUCUUCCGCAUGGAAGAAGAUUGAAAGACGGCUCUGCUGUCACUUAUAGAUGACCUUGCGGUGCAUUAGUUAGUUGGUGGGGUAACUGCCUACCAAGAAGAAGAUGCAUAGCCGACCUGAGAGGGUGAUCGGCCACGUUGGGACUGAGACACGGCCCAAACUCCUACGGGAGGCAGCAGUAGGGAAUCUUCCGCAAUGGGCGAAAGCCUGACGGAGCAAUGCCGCGUGAGUGAAGAAGGCCUUCGGGUCGUAAAACUCUGUUAUAAGAGAAGAACAAAUUGUAGAGUAACUGCUACAGUCUUGACGGUAUCUUAUCAGAAAGCCACGGCUAACUACGUGCCAGCAGCCGCAGUAA